UGUUGUUUUGUGCUAUAGUAUAGGCCUGCGGCUAUCAUUAAAAACAAAAUGCGGUAAUCGUAAGACAAACUUUAAUUUGUUUACGCCAAUGGAUAUUAACAGUGUUAUGGCGACAGAUCCAAUACUUGCGUCAUUCCAAUAAACGGUACGAGCAAAAAAAUGGACGCGUGCAAAGCCGUAAAAUUCAACAAAACCUUUUAUCUAUAAAUGUAAAUAAAUCCAAUUGACAAUAUUUCCUAAACAAAAAAACCAAAGGAUUCAUCGGCUUUAUUAACACCUCACAGUGCAAAGAGACCGUUGGUUGUGUGCGUCAUUCUGCAGCUAUGGCUAGUCCUGCCAAGAUCGCGAAACAGGACCUUGAAACAUUGGAGGGCUUUCUGCACUCCGUGUCUCCAAAUAUUGUGUUAAAGCGCAAUUUGAAGUAUUUCACUGCACUCCUUCAAACUAGCAGGGACGACUUUCAUAAAGUUGUCUGCUUUUGUCCAGAGAAAAGCAUCUUUCACGCAAGCCUGCAAAAACAAGACGGAAGUGAAGCUCACUAACGUCAAGCGAAGUAUCAGCUACUCAGAUCCUACGGGCUUUGACGUUUUGUGCAACAGAAGCACCAGUUUGGAAGUCGUGAACCUCUCCUUUUUACCCAAGGUCCCUCCCAGCAGCUCAAAGCUAAAUAUUGCCUAAGUGCAAACACUUGGACCUAGGCAAACUGUCGGUGUCCUAAAAGCGAAAAUUCUGGCCCCUGGAAUCUCCAGUAAAGUCGUCAACGUGAACGGCAUUGACUUGGAAGUGAAAGAGUUCCAGAUCGGAGAUUCCACGGGACACCUGAAGCUCUCUUUAUGGGACACGCAAAUUACAGGUGGAACCUAUGAAAUCCUACAAAUUUACUAACUUGUCCACUAGAGAACGGGAGGGACGAAUACAUCUCUCGGGGACACCAUCCACUGCCAUAAUAGAAAUUGACGGACUUGAAGUCGCUGGAUGCAGCUACAUCCGUCAGGCCGAAACUCGUUUUGAAUGCUCAGGAACUGUAACUGGAAUACAGAACUUGUGCAAACAUCGGUGUUCCAAAUGCCAAAAGACGCAAAAUGACUUUAAUGGUAAAUCAUCUGUACAGAAAUGUAUUGGCUGUAAACUAAUGCAAAAAUGUUCGUCAUACAACACAACAUAUACUGGGACUAUGUCGAUUACAAAGGAUGGCACAGAUCACACAGUCAGCAUUACAAGUUCUGCAAUUCGGUGUUAUUUAAGUGAGCAGGAUAUGUGCCAUCUCUUAAAUGACGUAGAAGAUAUGGAGGAGAACUUUAUUCAUGUUGGUGAGUUUUCUGUCCUCGUUAAUGAAGACAGACUGAUCACCAAAAUCAGGCAGACUGUUCCAAACAAAGAUGACGCUGCAGAUAAUGAUGAUGUAGGUACUUCAAAUGCAGCUCAGUAGCUGUGUUUUGCAAAUUUUUUGUGUGUUCUUUCAAAAUUGUUUAGUAUUUUCUAUAUAACGUUUAUAUAUUUUUGUGAGUGUUUAAUUGUUCCUUUUAAAUAAAUAUAUAUAUUUCG